rnacentral:rRNA from 1 species
CGAGCGGCCGUAGCAAUACGGCAGCGGCAGACGGGAGAGUAACACGUGGGAACGCGCCCUUUCGGUUCGGGAUAACCCAGGGAAACUUGGGCUAAUACCGGAUACGCCCUUACGGGGAAAGAUUUAUUGCCGAAGGAACGGCCCGCGUCCGAUUAGCUAGUUGGUGAGGUAAUGGCUCACCAAGGCGACGAUCGGUAGCUGGUCCGAGAGGAUGACCAGCCUCACUGGGACUGAGACACGGCCCAG